CAACUUGCUGUUCUCUCGUCGAGCAUCA
rnacentral:piRNA from 1 species